GAUGAACGCUGGCGGCGUGCCUAAUACAUGCAAGUCGAGCGAACAGACGAGGAGCUUGCUCCUCUGACGUUAGCGGCGGACGGGUGAGUAACACGUGGAUAACCUACCUAUAAGACUGGGAUAACUUCGGGAAACCGGAGCUAAUACCGGAUAAUAUAUUGAACCGCAUGGUUCAAUAGUGAAAGACGGUUUUGCUGUCACUUAUAGAUUGAUCCGCGCCGCAUUAGCUAGUUGGUAAGGUAACGGCUUACCAAGGCAACGAUGCAUAGCCGACCUGAGAGGGUGAUCGGCCACACUGGAACUGAGACACGGUCCAGACUCCUACGGGAGGCAGCAGUAGGGAAUCUUCCGCAAUGGGCGAAAGCCUGACGGAGCAACGCCGCGUGAGUGAUGAAGGUCUUCGGAUCGUAAAACUCUGUUAUUAGGGAAGAACAAAUGUGUAAGUAACUAUGCACGUCUUGACGGUACCUAAUCAGAAAGCCACGGCUAACUACGUG
rnacentral:rRNA from 1 species